rnacentral:rRNA from 1 species
CUACGGGCGGCUCCAGUGGGGAAUAUUGCACAAUGGGCGCAAGCCUGAUGCAGCCAUGCCGCGUGUAUGAAGAAGGCCUUCGGGUUGUAAAGUACUUUCAGCGGGGAGGAAGGGAGUAAAGUUAAUACCUUUGCUCAUUGACGUUACCCGCAGAAGAAGCACCGGCUAACUCCGUGCCAGCAGCCGCGGUAAUAGGAGGGUGCAAGCGGUAAUCGGAAUUACUGGGCGUAAAGCGCACGCAGGCGGUUUGUUAAGUCAGAUGUGAAAUCCCCGGGCUCAACCUGGGAACUGCAUCUGAUACUGGCGAGCUUGAGUCUCGUAGAGGGGGGUAGGAUUCCAGGUGUAGCGGUGAAAUGCGUAGAGAUCUGGAGGAAUGCCGGUGGCGAAGGCGGCCCCCUGGACUAAGACUGACGCUCAGGUGCGAAAGCGUGGGGAUCAAACAGGAUUAGCUACCCCUGUAGUC